AUUGAACGCUGGCGGCAUGCUUUACACAUGCAAGUCGAACGGUAACAGGCCGCAAGGUGCUGACGAGUGGCGAACGGGUGAGUAAUGCAUCGGAACGUGCCCAGUCGUGGGGGAUAACGCAGCGAAAGCUGCGCUAAUACCGCAUACGAUCUAUGGAUGAAAGCGGGGGACCGAAAGGCCCUGCGCGAUUGGAGCGGCCGAUGUCAGAUUAGGUAGUUGGUGGGGUAAAGGCUCACCAAGCCAACGAUCUGUAGCUGGUCUGAGAGGACGACCAGCCACACUGGGACUGAGACACGGCCCAGACUCCUACGGGAGGCAGCAGUGGGGAAUUUUGGACAAUGGGCGCAAGCCUGAUCCAGCAAUGCCGCGUGCAGGAAGAAGGCCUUCGGGUUGUAAACUGCUUUUGUACGGAACGAAAAGGCUCUGGUUAAUACCUGGGGCUCAUGACGGUACCGUAAGAAUAAGCACCGGCUAACUACGUGCCAGCCGCCGCAGUAAGAC
rnacentral:rRNA from 1 species